UUUGUACUUUUAAAUCAAGGGCAACAGUAAAGUGGGUGUAGAAGGAAGGUUAAAAUUUUUUAUUUUUAUUUUUAUUUUUAAUAGAACACCAAAUUAACACAAACAAUUAUCCAUGGGAUUAAUACAGAUUCAUCUGUAUAUCAAACCACCCAAACAUACGUACAUGAGCAUUUUAAAUACAGUCAUUUGAAUAAGAAGCUAAAAAUAACUAGUUUUAAGUUACUUUAACAAUAAGAAGUAAUAAUUCUACGUGAACCUAUGGACCUUGUUACAUUAUUCCCUUAGCAAUAUAAUUUUUUUCAAAGUGAAUCAAGAUGACAUAUUUUGAUAAGAGUUGAUUAUUUCAAUAAUUUGAUUGGAUUCUUUAUUAUUAUUAAAAUUCCCAAUGAUGUUUAAACUUAUAUUUAAAUUGAUCGAAAAUGUGUAUUUAAUCUAUAGUACACAUUCAUAAAAACAAACCUAAAAAUCGGAUCACUUUUGGCUACCUGUUGGCUAGCAUAAAAUCUGGAAAUUUCAUUUUAUCUACUAAAUAUGAAACUUUAGGAUCGUAUAAUCUUAGAGCUUACGGGUAUCAGGUCUUAGUUUUACUUUUCACAGAUCAAAUCCAUAAUAUUGAAGUAUCAGGAAGGUCGAGAAAAUAUUUUCAAAUCAUUAAUUACUUGUUGACAUGAGGAAUUGAAGUAAUCAUAAAUUUGUUAUUUAAGAAAGUCCUAAAAAUCAUUACAUAUUUUGCUCAAUGUGUGAGAAGAUGUGAAGCACCCCUUUACCGACAUCUAAAACACUGUUCAUGAGCCACCAUGUAGAAAAUCUAUUUGUAAAUUGUAUGGUGGUUGAGUUGCUCUGAAAGUCAGAUUUUAAAGAAUUUGUGGAGUUUUAGGUUUUGUGGUUUUGAUUUAACACUGUUGAAAAAAAGUGGAGUUAAAGCCAUACAAGCAGACAAGGGGAGAAGAGCCAGAGAAAUGGCAUAAAUUUGAAGCUUUUUAAAUUGAAGGACAAGGGGAAUGCUCUGUGUUGAAAUGAUAAGAAGACAAUUUAAGAGCCUGGAUAUUAACUUCUAAAUGUAUCUUUCUGUAAUUAACCUCCCCCACCAUCCCCCCCGCACAGGUAUACAAUUAUUUUAUAAAAUCUAUUAGACUCAGGAAAGUGACAGAUGGGUGGUGGUUUGUUGUUGUUUUUAUCCAAGAGGCUAAGAUAGUCAAGAGGUGUCUGUUUAAGGGCAUAAGCUUUGGAAUAUAACUCCCUGAGUUCAAAUUAUUUUUUCUCUUACAUGAGUUAUUUAACCUCCAAAACUCAGUUUCCUCCUCUGCAAAAAGGGAAGAAUUGUUAUGAAAUUAAAAUAAGAGAUUCCGCAUGUAAAGUGGUUCAUUAUUUUCUAGAACUUGUUUAACACCGGAUGAAUGCCAUUUUAAGUGUAGAUUUCUCAUGCAGACUCAAUGUGGAAUGGAACUUAAGUAUUACUUACAUAGCAUGCAUAUAAACAACAGCAAAGCGUUAGAGGAAAUUCAACCUUCACUUUCACUCCCAUCUGGUCCUGGAAAUUCAGUAAGUUGUUACAAAGGUAGUUGGCAUAUUUAACAAUGUUCAACAAGGUUACCUUCUUUUCCCAAGGGCCAAAGUAAACUCUUCUGAUGACUCAUUCGCAAAUUACUUUUAAUAUAAGAGAGAUUGUUCAUCAGGUAUACCAAUAGAGGAUGAAAAUAUCUAUUAUAAAAAUUAAUAUUAAAUUUUCUGAAAAUAGCAUUAUGAUUUACUGAUUUGGUAAUCAUUUUCUAUGAAAGAUAUUGAAAAACUUGAAAAGUAAGAUGAAUUGUAAUAAUUUGAUUUUACAAUAUUGAUGGUACUGAAAAUUAACUGAAGAAUUAUGAUUGGACAUUAAUAACUGUGGCAGAUGCUGUAAUGUGCCACUUAAUUUCUCCUUCAAAGAAGAAUCUGUUGCCUCAGUACAGAGAGGGCUGUUAAAAGUUAGCCUUCAGCUAUCAGCUCCUUCAGAAAUUGCGUCAGCUGCACAGAGCUGCCUUCCCAACACCACUUCCCUCCGCAGGGUGUCCACAUCAAAUAAUUGAUCCACUCAGGAGAUUAAAGGCCUGGACAUUAAGGCCUGACUUGGGACAACCCUGAAGGGCCCUUUCGGCUCCAGAACUCGUAGUGGGGAUGGCCAAAGCUGUCAGUAGGCCUGUAUCACAGCUCAGCUUCUUUCUCUAGCCAUUCCUGAUCCCUUCCCUUCAGUUCCAGUUAUGUUAAGCCUGAGAGCCCACCUAAAUAAAUUUAUCCUGAGCUAUAAACUCCUCAGUUGGCUUCCUGGGAAACCCAAACUGGAAAAAAUAGCAAUAGUAUUAAUAAUAAUAUAUUAUUAUAUUUAUUGAAUGAUUGUCAUGUGCCAUGUAUCUUGCUAUCUGCUGUGCAUUGUCCUUCUAAAUCAGUGUCUAGAGAAACCUUAAGUUAAGGUACAUACUUUACUUAUUUUACAGAUGGAAACAAGGAGAAUUAGAGAAAUUAAGCAAUUUGCCUAAAGUGAAACUAACGACUUGGAUUAAUAGCAUCUGGAGCCACCUGCAUUCCUUGACUCAUGAUCAUCUUCCUUGUUCAAAGCACAUUAUUCCAACCACUGCUUCUGUCCUCACAUCUCUUUUCUGUGACUGUGACCUGCUUGCCUCCCUGUUAUGGGAACCCAUAUGAUUCUGCUCGACCGUCCUUAGUAAAAUUAUACAGGUAAUCUCUCUAUUCCAAGGUCCUUAACUUAAUCACAUCUGCAAAAUCUUUUUCUUUUUUUUGCUAUGUAAGAUAAUAUAUUUGUAGGUUAGAAAAAUUAGGGUGUGCUCAUCUUUGAGAUGACAUUCUAUCACAAUUCUAUACAUUUAUUUUCUAAUCUGUCUGAAUAGUAAUAAAAACUUAGGUGAAGAAAGAAUAUUAUCUAAGGGUACAUCACAAAUAAUUCAAAGUUACUUAAGACAAACUACUAAAAUAAUCAUACAAGGAUUUCUGAUAGUAACAUAUUUGUUGUGCAAUUAGCAUCUAUAUAUAUAUAUAUAUAUAUAUAUUUUUUGACAUGGAAUUUCACUCUUGUUGCCCAAGCUGGAGUGCAGUGGCAUGAUCUCCGAUCACUGCAACCUCCACCUCCUGGGUUCAAGUGAUUCUCCUGCCUCAGCCUCCUUAGUAGCUGGGAUUACAGGCACGCACCACCACGCCCAGCUAAUUUUUGUAUUUUUUUUUAGCAGAGAUGGGGUUUCACCAUGUUGGCCAGGCUGGUCUUGAACUCCUGACCUCAGAUGAUCUGCCCGCCUCGGCUUCCCAAAGUGCUGGGAUUACAGGCGUGAGCCACUGAGCCCAGCCCCCUAAUUUUUUGAAAUAGUAAUGCUUCUAUGUGUUUGACUAGGAUAUUGAAACUAACUCCAUGAAAUAUAGAAACCAAGUCCUUCAUACAAUCUAAAAAUACCUGUUCAACAAUGUCAUAUCAAGAUACACACAUAAAUAUACAAAUACACACAUACAAGCAUAUAUAUAUAUACACAUUACACGAAAAGUUAAGCCAUGUUCUAUAAUUUUAUCUCAACAAUAUGUUAUAUAACAAGAUCCACUGUCUAUUAUAACCCAUCAUCUCUUAAUUCAGUAGCCAAGCUUAUCUUUGCUUCAGAACAAUUUCAGUCUUCGUUAAAUUAAUCAACACAUCUUUGUUGAACUAUGAUUACCAUUAAAUCUAAUGUCACCAAGUGUAAUCCAAUCCUUAUUGCUAAGGGAGAGUCCCUAACAUCUUCCUGACAAUUAAUUAAUCACAGUACUGUUUGUUUCUUAUAAUUCUAUCUGCCAAUGUAACACUGUGAUUCAAGAAAUACUAUUAUGCUGAUCUAUGAGUGAGAAACUCAUGAUAAUAUUAUUGAAUUUUGUUCAUGUCUAUGCCAAGAAUAGAUCUUUAGACACCGCUGUAGUUAAGUAAAUACUGACAAUGUCAUUUUUCAUAUGUUUUAUUAAAAAAAAUGGAAAAUUUUACAGUUUUAGCCUAUUUU
rnacentral:lncRNA from 10 species